GCCCCGGUGAGUGUGAAGGUCUUCGGAUCGUAAGCUCUGUUGUUAGGGAAGAACAUAUGUGUAAGUAACUGUGCACAUCUUGACGGUACCUAACCAGAAAGCCACGGCUAACUACGUGCCAGCAGCCGCGGUAAUACGUAGGUGGCAAGCGUUAUCCGGAAUUAUUGGGCGUAAAGCGCGCGUAGGCGGUUUUUUAAGUCUGAUGUGAAAGCCCACGGCUCAACCGUGGAGGGUCAUUGGAAACUGGAAAACUUGAGUGCAGAAGAGGAAAGUGGAAUUCCAUGUGUAGCGGUGAAAUGCGCAGAGAUAUGGAGGAACCCCAGUGGCUGCAGACGA
rnacentral:rRNA from 1 species